GGCGGCACUCACCGCUGCAGCACCACGACGACGGGGAGCCGUUGGGGAACUUGGCCGAAUCCGGGACGAUGCAGACGCUGGAGCUGAGGCCAAGUCACAUUCUGCAAGGGUGUCAUUGUACACGAUGAGGCUGGGCCCUCUCUGGAAAUGGCUGUCAAAGUAGGAAGCUAAUCCCAUGAGGGUGUCUUGGACAGUGCCAGAAAUGUAGCUGCUUUGGGGUAAAUAACCCCACUUUCUUCAGGUGGUCCUCAUAUGGUAAGAACCUCAGCCUCCUUUCCAUCCUACUUGCCCUCUCCUCUGGAUCCUCUCCAGCUUAUCAAUAUCCUUUUUCAAAGUUGGUGCCCAAGACACAGGUCUUCUACAGAAAGAUUCACUUUCCUGUAAUGCUGUGGACCCACAGUGAGUACACAGAAAGUAGGAAUUCUGAAAGUAUGAACCGUGUGGAGGACAGAGCAACUUCCAAGGAGGUGGCAGAAAUGAGGAAGGUGAGCCAGCUGCAAUAGCUGGAGGCCACUCAAGACUCCUGGCCAGAAGUGAUUGAGGCAAGCUGGAAGUAACAGAAUGGCCUGAACCUCAGGGAGGAGUCAAUGGGCAGCUCACAAGGAAUGGGGCAGCCUAGGAGCAGUGAGUGCACUUGGGUUACUGGAACUUUUCUUUGUUGGUGUUGUGAGUCUCCUGAAGGGACUGUGACCCAAACCACAGAGGAAGUGGCAGGAAUGAUGGGAUGCUUCACAUAAGAGGUAUUACUUGUAAUCAUUCCGUUUCUGUAUUCCCUCAUACCUUGUAAUAAAGUUUCUUUAAAUUGA